rnacentral:tRNA from 1 species
UAUGUAUUAGUGUAUAUUGCACAAAAAAUUUUGAGUUUUUAAGUAUUUAGUUUAAUUCAAAUAUAUAUAU